rnacentral:rRNA from 1 species
UACGUAGGGCGCAAGCGUUGUCCGGAAUUAUUGGGCGUAAAGAGCUCGUAGGCGGUCUGUUACGUCCGCUGUGAAAACCCAGGGCUUAACCCUGGGCUUGCAGUGGAUACGGGUAGACUAGAGGCAGGUAGGGGAGAAUGGAAUUCCCGGUGUAGCAGUGAAAUGCGUAGAUAUCGUGAGGAAGACCAGUGGCGAAGGCGGAUCUCUGGACAGUUCCUGACGCUGAGGCGCGAAGGCCAGGGGAGCAAACGGG